rnacentral:rRNA from 1 species
CUCCUACGGGAGGCAGCAGUAGGGAAUCUUCGGCAAUGGGGGCAACCCUGACCGAGCAACGCCGCGUGAGUGAAGAAGGUUUUCGGAUCGUAAAGCUCUGUUGUAAGAGAAGAACGUGUGUGGGAGUGGAAAAUCCACACAAUGACGGUAACUUACCAGAAAGGGACGGCUAACUACGUGCCAGCAGCCGCGGUAAUACGUAGGUCCCGAGCGUUGUCCGGAUUUAUUGGGCGUAAAGCGAGCGCAGGCGGUUAGAUAAGUCUGAAGUUAAAGGCUGCGGCUUAACCAUAGUACGCUUUGGAAACUGUUUAACUUGAGCGCAGAAGGGGAGAGUGGAAUUCCAUGUGUAGCGGUGAAAUGCGUAGAUAUAUGGAGGAACACCGGUGGCGAAAGCGGCUCUCUGGUCUGUAACUGACGCUGAGGCUCGAAAGCGUGGGGAGCAAACAGGAUUAGAUACCCUGGUAGUCCACGCCGUAAACGAUGAGUGCUAGGUGUUAGGCCCUUUCCGGGGCUUAGUGCCGCAGCUAACGCAUUAAGCACUCCGCCUGGGGAGUACGACCGCAAGGUUGAAACUCAAAGGAAUUGACGGGGGCCCGCACAAGCGGUGGAGCAUGUGGUUUAAUUCGAAGCAACGCGAAGAACCUUACCAGGUCUUGACAUCCCGAUGCCCGCUCUAGAGAUAGAGUUUUACUUCGGUACAUCGGUGACAGGUGGUGCAUGGUUGUCGUCAGCUCGUGUCGUGAGAUGUUGGGUUAAGUCCCGCAACGAGCGCAACCCUUAUUGUUAGUUGCCAUCAUUUAGUUGGGCACUCUAGCGAGACUGCCGGUAAUAAACCGGAGGAAGGUGGGGAUGACGUCAAAUCAUCAUGCCCCUUAUGACCUGGGCUACACACGUGCUACAAUGGCUGGUACAACGAGUCGCAAGUCGGUGACGGCAAGCUAAUCUCUUAAAGCCAGUCUCAGUUCGGAUUGUAGGCUGCAACUCGCCUACAUGAAGUCGGAAUCGCUAGUAAUCGCGGAUCAGCACGCCGCGGUGAAUACGUUCCCGGGUCUUGUACACACGC